AGGAAGUUCUAAGUUUCUCCGCAUAUGCUGCUCAGCAGUGUGUGUUAGGCUAGCCCCGUAACGAGGCUGGAUAAUUAAUCGCCUUAAACGGUAAAGAAAAUUUAAGUGAGGUAGUUAUGUCAGGGGAAAGAGUUUCUGGCACUGUAAAGUGGUUCAACGACAGUAAAGGUUUCGGAUUUAUUGAGCAAGAAGGCGGCGGUGACGUAUUUGUUCACCACAGUGCCAUUCAAGCCGACGGAUUCAAAUCAUUAAAAGAAGGCCAAGCUGUGACUAUGGUAGUCACUCAAGGUCAGAAAGGCGCGCAGGCAGAGAAUGUAAUCGCCGAAUAAGUCUUACAGUUUUUAUAUAGAACAUAAGAUUCGAAAGCCCUGGCAAGAAAUUGUCAGGGUUUU
rnacentral:sRNA from 1 species